AACUAUUAUGCCUGAAACAAAAACAUUGCUAGAAGUGAUAUAUUUCAGCUUGAUGACGUUCUAAUUGUUGGUUGCUGCUUGCCUAACCUGCUUUACUGUAUAAAGGGAAUUAUGCAGAUAUGUUCCAUUCCAUCUCUUUGGAAGAGACUGAACUUUAAAGGCACUAUAUCUGUCAAAAUGAAGAGAUCAUAUUUUUCAUAGUAGAAGCUAUGGUAAAGAAUUGUUAAUGAUGAUUGGCAAGAUGUUCAACUGCUCUGAAAAGAGUGAAUGAUAAACUGCUAUUCUGAACAGACAAUGGGAACAGCUAGUCCAAAUUAUGUACGUAGGUUGCUGGCUGUUGUAUUCUUUGCAAAGGAGACUUCCUGGACCUUUGAAAGCCAGGUGGCAUGUGGGACCAAUGAAUGUACUGCUGUGUAGCCGGCUCUCAGUUCUUGCCUGGAAGCAAGGCAAAGCCCUCAUUUGCAAACCGUAUGGUGAAUAGCAUGAGGAAUUUCCAGGAAGCAGAUUCUGUUGAAGCACCGUUGGGAUACCCUAACAGCUUUUGCUUGACAUGUGCUCUCUUGUGGCUGCAAACUGGCAGCUGGCUCUUUCAGGUAGAGACUUCAAAUGGCAUGAAGCUGCUCUAGUUGGAAACGAGGACGUUGAGGCAUGGACUUGGUUGAAAAUGAUCUGCUUGAAAAGUGCUGCUGGACAAUCCACAAGCCUGAAAAGGAAUCAGCAAUUUAGGCAAAUAAGCUCCAUCUGGUGCUAAAGGUAAAUAUUAUAGGUGCUGUUUGAACUGCUUGUUGCAAGGUCACUUCAAAGAGGGCUGUAUGCUGUUGAACAAACUGCUCUUAACGCAAUGACCUGAUAUGGAAAUCCUUUGAAAGAUGUCAAGGGUACUUUAUAUGUACUCUGUGGUCUAUCCCAGAGGAGACAUAUGCUUGAAUCCACUUUAGGCGGCUGCUUCGCAGGGAAAUUUGGAAAUGGCAUUGGUUGAAUUUUGGCCUCCUCAAAUGGGCUUGGGAUGAACUCUUAAAUCACUGAAAUUGGAGGAAGUACACCUCCAAUAUUAACUGUGGGGUGGUUGGAAGGGAAUGAAACCACGCUGGUUUUAUAAUGUAUUCACUAUUUUUCUACACGUUUAGGUACCUUAACAGCUGGAUAGAAAAUGGAAGAACCGGCCAGGGUGCUCAGACAGCUUUAAAAUUAAACAAAUUGGCAUUCUUAAAGCUUCAAAAGCGAAACGGUUACGGAAUUAUAAUUCUUAAAUGUCUGCUCAAUAAACAAGUCCUUGCUGGAA